GCGAACGGGUGAGUUAAGCAUCGGAACGUAUCCUAUAGUGGGGGAUAAUCCUAGCGAAAGCUAGCUAAGUACCUGCAUACGGCCCUGAGGGGGAAAGUGGGGGACUCGCAAGAGCCUUACGCUAUUGGAGCGGCCGAUGUCGGAUUAGCUAGUUGGUGAGGUAAAGGCUUACCAAGGCUGACGAUCCGUAGCUGGUUUGAGAGAACGACCAGCCACACUGGGACUGAGACACGGUCCAGACUCCUACGGGAGGCAGCAGUGGGGAAUUUUGGACAAUGGGGGCAACCCUGUAUCCAGCCAUGCCGCGUGAGUGAAGAAGGCCUUCGGGUUGUAAAGCUCUUUCAGCGGGGACAAAACGGCAUCCGCGAAUUAACGGGUGUUCAAUGAUGGUACCCGAAGAAGAAGGCACCGGCUUACUACGUGCCAGCAGCCGCGGUAAUACGUAGGGUGCGAGCGUUAAUCGGAAUUACUGGGCGUAAAGCGUGCGCAGGUGGUUUCGUAAGUCAGAUGUGAAAUCCCCGGGCUUAACCUGGGAAUGGCAUUUGAGACUGCGAAGCUGAGUACGGCAGAGGGAG
rnacentral:rRNA from 1 species